AGACGUCUACAUUAGAUACCCGGUAGUCCCAGCCGUAAACUAUGCGCGUUAGGUGUAUCGGUGACCACGAGUUACCGAGGUGCCGAAGGGAAACCGUGAAACGUGCCGCCUGGGAAGUACGGUCGCAAGGCUGAAACUUAAAGGAAUUGGCGGGGAGCACCACAACAGGUGGAGCCUGCGGUUUAAUUGGACUCAACGCCGGGAAGCUCACCGGAUAGGACAGCAGAAUGAUUGCCGGGCUGAAGACCCUGCAUGACUAGCUG
rnacentral:rRNA from 1 species